rnacentral:rRNA from 1 species
GAUCCUGGCUCAAGACGAACGCUGGCGGCGUGCCUAACACAUGCAAGUCGAGCGGAGACAGUGAGUAGCUUGCUGUGAGCUGUUUUAGCGGCGGACGGGUGAGUAACGCGUGAGCAACCUUUCCCAGACAGGGGAAUAACACACCGAAAGGUGUACUAAUACCGCAUAAGACCACGGGAUCACAUGGUUCUGGGGUAAAAGAAUUAUCGGUUUGGGGUGGGCUCGCGUCCGAUUAGGUAGUUGGUGAGGUAACGG